AUGCCCUGGAGCGCCACCUGCCACGUGGGCCGAGCCACAAGGGUCCCAGGAUCUCCAGAAGGACCAGUGCCUUGGGGUGGGAAGUGGCGGCAUUGGCAGUCCGAGGCCCGGCUGCGCUCAGGAUGUCUCCUCCCCAGCCUGGCAAGCCGACAAGUGGUGCGCCCCAGAGGUGGCUCUGCCCCGUGCUUUUUGCCCCUUGUUUUGGGCACGUGGUGGCCUACCAGGUACUCCCACGUGGCUGCGCUGCCUCUUUUAAGGGCGGAGUUGUCUCGCUACGAAAGGAAUAACGUUCAUGAGAAAACUAAGGCAGGAAAAAAUCAAGGUGACCCCAAGAAAAUGGCUCCUCCUCCAACGGAGGUAGAAGAAGAUAGUUAAGAUGAGGAAAUGUCAGAAGAUGCAGAAGGUGAUAGCAGUGGAGAAGGGGUUGUCAUACCUCAGAAUAAAGGCCAGAAGGCUGCUGCGACCCUGCCAAAGAAAGUAGUAGUUUCCUCAACAAAAAAGGUUGCAGUUGCCACACCAGUGAAUAAAGCAGCUGUCACUCCAGACAAAAAGGCAGCAGCAACACUUGUCAAAAAGAUAGUUAUACAAGCCAAAGCAGUCGCAAUACCUGGCAAGAAGGGAGCCACACCAGGCAAAGCAUUGGUAGCAACUCCUGGUAAGAAGAGUGCUGCCACCCCAGCCAAGGGGGCAAAGAAUGGCAAGAAUGCCAAGAAGGAAGACAAUGAUGAAGAGGAGGAGGAGGACAGUGAGGAGGAUGAUGAGGAUAAGGAUGAAUUUGAACCAACAGUGGGGAAAGUAGCAGUUGCUGCCCCUGCCUCAGAGGAUGAGGAUGAUGAAGAUGAUGAUGAGGAGGAGGAUGAUGGUGAUGAAGACAACGACUCUGAAAAGGAAGCUGUGGAGACCAUGCCAGCCAAAGGAAAGAGAGCUGCAAACGCUGUUCCUGUGAAAGCCAAGAACGUGGCUGAGGAUGAAGAUGAAGAAGAGGAUGAGGACGACGAGGAUGAUGAAGAUGAGGAUGAAGAUGAAGAUGAGGAAGAUGAUAAGGAAGAGGAGGAAGAAGUUGAGGAAGAGCCUGUCAAAGAAGCACCUGGAGAAGGAAAGAAGAAAAUGACCAAACAGAAAGCAGCUCCUGAAGCCAAGAAACAGAAAGUGGAAAGCACAGAACCGACCACAGCUUUCAAUCUUUUUGUUGGAAAUCCAAACUUUAGCAAAUAUGCUCCUGAAUUACAAACUGGUAUCAGCGAUUAUUUUGCUAAAAAUAAGCUUGCUGUUGUGAGUGUCAGAAUUGGUAUGACAGAGAAAUUUGGUUAUGUGGAUUUUGAAUCUGCCGAAGACCUGGAAAAAGCCUUGGAACUUACUGGUUUGAAAGUCUUGGCAAUGAAAUUAAACUAGAGAAACCAAAAGGAAAAGACAGUAAGAAAAAGCAAGAGGCGAGAACACUUUUGGCUAAAAAUCUCCCUUACAAAGUGACUCAGGAUGAAUUUUAAAAAGUGUUUGAAGAUGCUGCUGCAGAGAUCAGAUUAGUCAGCAAGGAUGGGAAAAGUAAAGAGAUUGCUUAUAUUGAAUUUAAGACAGAAGCUGAUGCAGAGAAAACCUCUGAAGAAAAGCAGUGAAUGGAGAUCAAUGGGCGAUCUAUUUCCCUGUAUUAUACUGGAGAGAAAGGUGAAAAUCAAGACUACAGAGGUGGAAAGAAUAGCACUUGUAGUGUUGAAUCAAAAACUCUGGUUUUAAGCAACCUCUCCUACAGUGCAACAGAAGAAACUCUUCCGGAAGUACUUGAGAAAGCAACUUUUAUCAAAGCACCCCAGAACCAUACUGGCAAAUCUAAAUGGUAUGCAUUUAUAGAGUUUCCUUCAUUUGAAGAUGCUAAGGAAGCUUUAAAUUCCUGUAAUAAAAGGGAAAUUGAGGGCAGAGUCAUCAGGCUGGAGUUGCAAGGACCAAGGGGAUCACCUAAUGCCAGAAGCCAGCCAUCCAAAACUCUGUUUGUCAAAGGCCUGUCUGAGGAUACCACUGAAGAGACAUUAAAGGAGUCAUUUGAGGGCUCUGUUCUGGCAAGGAUAGUCACUGACUGGGAAACUGGGUCCUCCAAAGGGUUCGGUUUUGUAAACUUCAACAGUGAGGAGGAUGCCAAAGCUGCCAAGGAGGCCAUGGAAGAUGGUGAAAUUGAUGGAAAUAAAGUUACCUUGGACUGUGCCAAAUCUAAGGGUGAAGGUGGCUUUGGGGGUCAUGGUGGAGGCAGAGGUGGCUUUGGAGGAUGAGGUGGUGGCAGAGGAGGCCAAGUAGGAUUUGGUAGCAGAGGCCGGGGAGACUUUGGAGGGCGAGGCAGCUUUCGAGGAGGCAGAGGAGGAGGAGGUGACCACAAGCCACAAGGAAAGAAGAUAAAGUUUGAAUAGC